AGCGAACGCUGGCGGCAGGCCUAAUACAUGCAAGUCGAACGGUCUCUUCGGAGGCAGUGGCGGACGGGUGAGUAACGCGUGGGAACGUGCCCUUUGGUACGGAACAACUGAGGGAAACUUCAGCUAAUACCGUAUGUGCCCUUCGGGGGAAAGAUUUAUCGCCAUUGGAGCGGCCCGCGUUGGAUUAGCUAGUUGGUGGGGUAAUGGCCCACCAAGGCGACGAUCCAUAGCUGGUCUGAGAGGAUGAUCAGCCACACUGGGACUGAGACACGGCCCAGACUCCUACGGGAGGCAGCAGUAGGGAAUCUUGCGCAAUGGGCGAAAGCCUGACGCAGCCAUGCCGCGUGAAUGAUGAAGGUCUUAGGAUUGUAAAAUUCUUUCACCGGGGACGAUAAUGACGGUAACCCGGAGAAAGAAGGCCCCGGCUAACUUCGUGCCAGCAGCCGCGGUAAU
rnacentral:rRNA from 1 species